rnacentral:rRNA from 1 species
AUUGAACGCUGGCGGCAUGCUUUACACAUGCAAGUCGAACGGUAACAGGCCGCAAGGUGCUGACGAGUGGCGAACGGGUGAGUAAUGCAUCGGAACGUGCCCAGUCGUGGGGGAUAACUACUCGAAAGAGUAGCUAAUACCGCAUACGAUCUAUGGAUGAAAUCGGGGGACCGUAAGGGCUCGCGCGAUUGGAUCGGCCGAUGUCGGAGUAGGUAGUUGGUGGGGUAAAGGCUCACCAAGCCAACGAUCUGUAGCUGGUCUGAGAGGACGACCAGCCACACUGGGACUGAGACACGGCCCAGACUCCUACGGGAGGCAGCAGUGGGGAAUGUUGGGCAAUGGGCGCAAGCCUGAUCCAGCAAUGCCGCGUGCAGGAAGAAGGCCUUCGGGUUGUAAACUGCUUUUGUACGGAACGAAACGGCUCUGGUUAAUACCCGGGGCUAAUGACGGUACCGGAAGAAUAAGCACCGGCUAACUACGUG